GGGGUUGUGGCUCAGAAGUAGAGUGCUUGCCUAGCAUGCAUGAGGCACUGGGUUCGAUUCUCGGCACCA
rnacentral:tRNA from 1 species